rnacentral:rRNA from 1 species
AUGCAGUCGAGCGGAUGAAGGAGCUUGCUCCUGGAUUCAGCGGCGGACGGGUGAGUAAUGCCUAGGAAUCUGCCUGGUAGUGGGGGACAACGUUUCGAAAGGAACGCUAAUACCGCAUACGUCCUACGGGAGAAAGCAGGGGACCUUCGGGCCUUGCGCUAUCAGAUGAGCCUAGGUCGGAUUAGCUAGUUGGUGAGGUAAUGGCUCACCAAGGCGACGAUCCGUAACUGGUCUGAGAGGAUGAUCAGUCACACUGGAACUGAGACACGGUCCAGACUCCUACGGGAGGCAGCAGUGGGGAAUAUUGGACAAUGGGCGAAAGCCUGAUCCAGCCAUGCCGCGUGUGUGAAGAAGGUCUUCGGAUUGUAAAGCACUUUAAGUUGGGAGGAAGGGUUGUAGAUUAAUACUCUGCAAUUUUGACGUUACCGACAGAAUAAGCACCGGCUAACUCUGUGCCAGCAGCCGCGGUAAUACAGAGGGUGCAAGCGUUAAUCGGAAUUACU